rnacentral:lncRNA from 1 species
AUGCCUCCCCUGAGCUGGCCCAUCUCUCCCCAGCAACCUGCGGCAGAUCUUCCAGUCCCUGCCCCCCUUCAUGGACAUCCUCCUGCUGCUGCUGUUCUUCAUGAUCAUCUUUGCCAUCCUCGGUUUCUACUUGUUCUCCCCUAACCCUUCAGACCCCUACUUCAGCACCCUGGAGAACAGCAUCGUUAGUCUGUUUGUCCUUCUGACCACAGCCAAGUAAGUGCAGGCUCUGCCUUGCCUUUGGUCCUCUGCUGCCGCCCUGGGGUCUCUUUCUCUUUUCUGCCAAGUAUAUUCCACAUCCCAGCACAGGCAGGUGCCGUGGUGCUAUUGGGAGACAGGGUUGGUCCACUGAGCA